rnacentral:rRNA from 1 species
GACGAACGCUGGCGGCGUGCCUAAUACACGCAAGUAGAACGCACAGUUUAUACCGUAGCUUGCUACACCAUAAACUGUGAGUUGCGAACGGGUGAGUAACGCGUAGGUAACCUGCCUGGUAGCGGGGGAUAACUAUUGGAAACGAUAGCUAAUACCGCAUAAUAUUGAUUAUUGCAUGAUAAUUGAUUGAAAGAUGCUAUUGCAUCACUACCAGAUGGACCUGCGUUGUAUUAGCUAGUAGGUGAGGUAACGGCUCACCUAGGCGACGAUACAUAGCCGACCUGAGAGGGUGAUCGGCCACACUGGGACUGAGACACGGCCCAGACUCCUACGGGAGGCAGCAGUAGGGAAUCUUCGGCAAUGGACGAAAGUCUGACCGAGCAACGCCGCGUGAGUGAAGAAGGUUUUCGGAUCGUAAAGCUCUGUUGUAAGAGAAGAACGGGUGUGAGAGUGGAAAGUUCACACUGUGACGGUAUCUUACCAGAAAGGGACGGCUAACUACGUG